GAUCCUACGGGGGGCAGCAGUGGGGAAUAUUGCACAAUGGGGGAAACCCUGAUGCAGCGACGCCGCGUGAGUGAAGAAGUAUUUCGGUAUGUAAAGCUCUAUCAGCAGGGAAGAUAAUGACGGUACCUGACUAAGAAGCUCCGGCUAAAUACGUGCCAGCAGCCGCGGUAAUACGUAUGGAGCAAGCGUUAUCCGGAUUUACUGGGUGUAAAGGGAGCGCAGACGGCAAGGCAAGUCAGAUGUGAAAACCCGGGGCCCAACCCCGGGAGUGCAUUUGAAACUGUCUGGCUAGAGUGCAGGAGAGG
rnacentral:rRNA from 1 species